UUUCUCUUCUCUUCUCGUGUUCACUAUUUUUCAUGUCCAUGGAUCUUUUUAUUAUGGAUAAAAGGCUAGAGUACCACGGGCUCCUUUUCCGCAUCCAUCCAGAGAGGCUUCUCGGCGCACAAAGGCUUCCGCGCGCUUUCCGUGACGCUAUGGUUCCGUGCGUAAACAAGGCUUCCGCAACACCACCAGCGUCGUCCCGGGUUUUCGUGCAGCGGUGGGUCCCAUGUGAGGAGGGACCACACCAACCCAAGCAAAAUGAAGGAAGCACAGCAUCGUCCCGGUUGGCAGGACC
rnacentral:lncRNA from 1 species